AGCAGCCGCGGUAAUUCCAGCUCCAAUAGCGUAUAUUAAAGUUGUUGCAGUUAAAAAGCUCGUAGUUGAAUUUCGGGGUUAGUAGGUUGGUCGUGCCUCAGGUAUGUACUGAUCUCACUGAUUCCUCCUUCCUGAUGAACCGUAAUGCCAUUAAUUUGGUGUUGCGGGGAAACUGGACUGUUACUUUGAAAAAAUUAGAGUGUUUAAAGCAGGCUAACGCUUGAAUACAUUAGCAUGGAAUAAUGAAAUAGGACGUUCGAUCCUAUUUUGUUGGUUUCUAGGAUUGACGUAAUGAUUAAUAGGGAUAGUUGGGGGCAUUAGUAUUCAAUUGUCAGAGGUGAAAUUCUUGGAUUUAUUGAAGACUAACUACUGCGAAAGCAUUUGCCAAGGAUGUUUUCAUUAAUCAAGAACGAAAGUUAGGGAUCGAAGACGAUCAGAUACCGUCGUAGUCUUAACCAUAAACUAUGCCGACUAGGGGAUCGGAUGAUGUUAAUUUUUAUGUACUCAUUCGGCGCCUUAC
rnacentral:rRNA from 1 species